UAAAAUUCGAAUGAUUUAAUGUUUUAAACAUUUGAAAAUUAAAAAUUUAUUCAAAAUUAAAAAUUUAAAAUUCGAAUUUCCACUGCUAUGCAGUGGUUAGUGGCGAACGAGUUAGUAAUACCCUGGUACAUACCACCGAGACGGGAAUAGCUUGCCGAAAGGUGAGGUAAUACCCGAUAGUCUCGCAAGAGUAAAGGAGUAAUCCGCUUGGUGAUUGGCCUAGGUCCGAUCAGCUAGUUGGUAAGAUAAUGGCUUACCAAGGCAAUGACCGGUAGGAGGGGUGAGAGCCCGAUCUCCAACGACGAAACUGAGACACGGUUCGUACACCUACGGGUGGCAGCAGUCGAGAAUAUUCCACAAUGGGCGAAAGCCUGAUGGAGCGACGCCGCGUGCAGGAAGAAGGCCUUCGGGUCGUAAACUGCUUUUUUAGAAGAGAAAGCCCCGCUUUUAGCGGGGUUGAUAUUACUCUAAGAAUAAGGGGUUCCUAACUCUGUGCCAGCAGGAGCGGUAAUACAGAGACCCCGAGCGUUAUCCGAAUUUAUUGGGCGUAAAGAGCGAGUAGGGGGCUUUUUAAGUCUAACGUUAAAUCCCGACGCCUAACGUCGGAACCGCGUUGGAUACUGAAUAGCUUGAGGACGUAAGAGGCAGAUGGAACAGCCGGUGUAGGGGUAAAAUCCGUUGAUAUCGGCUGGAACACCAAAGGCGAAGGCAUUCUGCUGGGACGUUCCUGACCCUGAGUCGCGAAAGCGUGGGCAGAAAAAAGGAUUAGAUACCCUUGUAUUCCACGCCGUAAACUAUGUCUACUAGCUGUUUCGAGUGUCGACCCUCGGAGUGGCGAAGCUAACGCGUUAAGUAGACCGCCUGGGAAGUACGGCCGCAAGGCUAAAACUUAAAGGAAUAGACGGGGACUCGCACAAGCGGUGGAGCAUGAGGUUUAAUUCGAUGGUAAACGAGGAACCUUACCAGGGCUUGAAAUGCAUACGAACCUCGAUGGAAACGUCGGGGGUCCGCAAGGACGUAUGCACAGGUGCUGCAUGGUUGAUUUGUAUCGACCCUUUUCAAAGUAAUUUGAAAAGCAAACCG
rnacentral:rRNA from 1 species